GAUGAACGCAGGCGGCGUGCCUAAUACAUGCAAGUAGAACGCUGAAGCUUGGUGCUUGCACCGAGCGGAUGAGUUGCGAACGGGUGAGUAACGCGUAGGUAACCUGCCUGGUAGUGGGGGAUAACUAUUGGAAACGAUAGCUAAUACCGCAUAAUAACAGUUGUUGCAUGACAACUGUUUGAAAGGUGCAAUUGCAUCACUACCAGAUGGACCUGCGUUGUAUUAGCUAGUUGGUGGGGUAACGGCUCACCAAGGCGACGAUACAUAGCCGACCUGAGAGGGUGAUCGGCCACACUGGGACUGAGACACGGCCCAUGACUCCUACGGGAGGCAGCAGUAGGGAAUCUUCGGCAAUGGACGAAAUGUCUGACCGAGCAACGCCGCG
rnacentral:rRNA from 1 species